UAGUCAGUAUUUUGUUUAUAUAUGUAUAUAUAGCGUAAUAAUAUAUUGUCUCUUCAAAUUAUUAAAAUAAUUGACUUUACUGCUAUUAUCUGCUUCUCUAACAUAUAUAAGUGUGUGUGAGUGUUUACAGUGUUUGCAAAAUACCUGCCUACAGUCGAGCUUAAUUUCAGAAUAUUCUAUUACCUAUUAUUAUUAUUAUCUAUUAUUCCCGCUAUGUUCAGCACCCCAUUGAUUUACACCUGCAUUUUGUGCUUCAUGGCGCUAGGUGUGCUGUUUGCAUGUUUGACAUUGUUUUACACAGACACCACCGAAGAAGAAAGGUGCCGAAGUGAGACGGGUAUGUCUGCAGGCUGCAAGAGAGAGGCGUGUUGCAAAGUAGGCGUUUCGCAAAGCUUCGCGUCACUUCCAGGCGUAAACUAACCGUGACGUCACCCGUUGGUUUCAACGCCGAGAAAAUGAAGCCCGGAUUUUGCUACUUCCUGGUCGCCGUUUUGGAUUUUUUGGAGCCAGUGACGUAAAAAGCGUCAUCAAACAGACUGGACCGGAGAGCAACUAGGGGCAGGAUUGGCUGAGGACCCGCCCACGUUUUACCGCAGAGGCUUCUGUUGCUGUCCAUCAAGUAUAGCCACACCCCCUGGCUCCGCCAACUUUAACGAUUUAUUUAAAAUUCAGUAUUGAUUUAUUUUAAGAUCGGCCACCUGAUCUCUCAUUUUGACCGUGAAAACUAACGGGAAAAAAAUCCUGAGCUGUAGAAAAUCAGUCUAUCAAAUUUUAUUUUCUCCAAAAAUGAAUUGAGCUCUAUGGAGAAAAAGCUUCUUGGAGCCAAUCCUAGCGGACGGCGUGAUAUUGCAAGUUUUUGACACUUCUGGGUUGCCUUCAAUUCUGGAGCCAGAUGCUACGUCCACUAUAUAUACAGUCUAUGGUCACUUCGCGACACGCCUACUUUGCGACACGCCUCUCACCGGCAGUCACGGAGAAACACGCGAGAUGUGAGAUUUGAAUCUUCAACCAUGGCGGGUCGUGUCCACACUUGAUCUCGCAAAGCAGCUGGUUCCAGGUCCCUGGAUUGAAAAAACAGGCAAAGACAUAGAGGUAACAGUCUUCAAGAUUGCAUUACUUCAUCAGAAGAUACAACUGCAUUUAUGGGAAUCAAGUGUCCUCUGUUGCUGUGUCCCCAAAAGAGGGUGGCCUGCAGUGAAUAUUGUAACUAUUUUGCUCAAAACGUUUUUAGUAUUAAUAUACACCCCCAUAUAAACUGACUUGGCCCAUCAAAGCAAUAUCAUGAUACCAUGCUUUUUAAAAUAAAUUGUACUAGAUACAUUUUGAUAUUUGUUCUACUAUCGUGGCGCAGGGGCUUCCGAGACAGACACAUGCAAAUGACUGUGGCAUUUUUAUGAUAAUGGUAAGCUUUCAAACAUGGAACUUUCAAAUUAGCUGAACAUAGUUUCAGUACCUUAACCUGUUUAAUGUUUCUGACACAGUACGCCUGGUACCUCAUUCUUGGUGCUCUAUUUGACUUCACUGUUGUAAGUUGAACCGAUAAUUUGAUCGUUACAGUUCCUGUAAGUUUGACAAACUAGUUUGGAUAUUUAAAGUAACAGCAACAUACAUGUACAUGAAGUUAAUCAUUGUGGAUUUGUGGAAUGUGCUCUUCCUAUAAGGACGACAUGCCAGUUCUGAGGAGAUGGUGGUGUUCCGUUACUAUGAAAAACCUAAUCCUGGAAGGGUAUGAUUGAUUGAACCUUUGUUAGAUCAAAGAGAUCUAACAAAGGAGAUUAGAUUUCUUUGUUAGAUAAAAAUAUUGUUAUAUUGUAUCCCUAGCUGGCCCUUUAAAGCUGCAGUCCGGAGUUUGAAUCGCAGCGUCUCCCAGAACACUGUUGGUCCCACCCUCCCUCCCUCUGAUUUCGCCCCUUUAUUUGUGCACGCGCGCAGUACAUGAGAGGAGUGCCCGGAGUGCUGCAGCAUCUCGCCUGUUUUGCUGUUUUCCCCUCUUCUACAUUUAGUACAUUUAGUAAAUAAUAAAGGAAUUACGUUAGAAUGCUGUAUUGAGUUUAACUUGUCCUAAUACCAAAAUAACAUGAAUCUGCUAGGACGAACUAGUAAAGUUUCAAUAUGUGAUUACACUCGUGUAUCCCUCUCAAUGACGUUGUUUAUCAAACUUAGUGCAUUUACGCGUGUAUAUAUGUUACAUUGUUUAUUUAUUUCUAUCUAGAGUUCAGAAUUGCAUGACUCCUCUGACGAAGAGUAUGUCCCAGAUGCCCCAACAUCUUCCUCCAGAGGUCGGGCAUCUAAACGAAGCCGUCAGGCGGGCUAUGGAGGGCCGUGGUCGGGGAGCGAGGCGAGCACCCCGACCACGGCAUCUAAACGAAGCCGUCAGGCGGGCUAUGGAGGGCCGUGGUCGGGGAGCGAGGCGAGCACCCCGAGCCAAAAAACGUCCUGCAGUCUCUUGGCCUGACAAGCCGUGGGAUUGGUAACUUUUCUGGAAGUUGCUGAGCCCUGAUGCUCUCUCCUCCACAAGCAAAACAAAUGUGCGCGCGGUUGCGUAGUGCGUAGCUCGCCCACCUCUGCAUGGGCUUGCUUGCUGUGCACGUAACCGUUGAUUGACAGCAUGACAAAGCUGAAACUCGAACUUGAUUGGUUGGCAGCAACCGGCGCUUUUUGAAAUAACAUGGGGGUCUAUGAGAGGAAGGCGGAGCUCAGGAAUAAAUUUUCAUAUCGCGUUAUUCUAACUUUAUAUUAUAGUAUCGAACUAGACUAACACAUUUAAGCUUUGUUAAAAAAUGAUACAUAGAUUGAAAACAAACGGAAACUCCGGACAGCAGCUUUAAGUAUUAUGACUAUUUUUCUUAGUUUAUUUUUUGUUUCUUCAGGCAUGGGAGAAGGUUUGCCCAUUUCACUAAGGAGGGAAAGGACAUGAUUUCUGGCCGUCUUUCACCUGUUUUCCGACUGAAGCGGAAAAGAACAGAUGAUGAAGACACAGAUAUAAGAAUAUGUGACAACAACAGAAUGAGUGAUAUAAUAUGGCGACUUUACAUGUAUGUGUAAUUAAGACCUUCUUCAAAGGACAGUGUUGUUACCAAUAACAAUAACAGGCAGCCUUGGUUUAAGGCCCACUGAAUGGUCUCACUAGGAAGCACACCAUAGUAUUUGUCAUGUUUGUCCUUUGUUUCAUUUUAUUAGUAAGUUUGAACCACCGGUCAUGAGCCUGACACACAAUAAUAAACAGUUACACUAAUAUUAUAAAUCGUACAUCGGCAUUGCCGAUCAGAGACCAAGGGCUAUCUGGAAAUAAUAUCAGAACUAACUGAGAUCUAGACUAUAAUUUAAAAAAAAUCCCCACAGUUGAACAGAGACAGAGAUGCAUAUUAUAAUAGAUGAUAUUUGAAGCCAUAUUAAGUGGGUUUUUUUUUCAAAUUUCACUUAUUGUCACCAUGAACUUGUGAAACUCUUGCUGCUUGCAUCAGCAGCAUCCUUUACAAACUGACAAAAAAUGGACAUUUGGAAGACCACCAACUAGUAUAGUUUUGAUAUGUUUAUCUUGGAAUGUUCCAUCUAUUUAGAAUCAUGACUGGGAAGACAAUGAGGGGCUGAUGGUUGGUGAAAAAGUUUGCUUGUUUAUUUGUCUUUUGGUUGAUAGAUUUCAUUUUUAAAUUAGAAUGUUGACAGGAGCAUGUGCCAGUGGAUGCAAUGAGCUCUUAAUCAACUUUGUUUCUCAGCAGAGCAACACAUAUUAAAAAGGUGAUGAAUGUAAUUAACUUCAAUUGUCACAGUUUUAAAGCUCUGGCUGACUAUCAUUCUUCAUCAGUAAAUGAAUGUAGUUACCUGACUAUGAAAUUCAAAAGCAGUCUUGUGUAUGUUGUUGACUGUUCUCAUCAUCCAACCAAAUAAAGUCUGACACAAAAUGUUA